rnacentral:rRNA from 1 species
CCUACGGGAGGCAGCAGUGAGGAAUAUUGGUCAAUGGCCGCAGGGCUGAACCAGCCAAGUCGCGUGAGGGAUGACGGUCCUAUGGAUUGUAAACCUCUUUUGUCAGGGAGCAAAGGGCGCCACGUGUGGCGCUUUGCGAGUACCUGAAGAAAAAGCAUCGGCUAACUCCGUGCCAGCAGCCGCGGUAAUACGGAGGCGGCGAGCGUUAUCCGGAUUUAUUGGGUUUAAAGGGUGCGCAGGCGGAAUGUCAAGUCAGCGGUAAAAUUUCGGGGCUCAACCCCGUCGUGCCGUUGAAACUGGCGUUCUUGAGUGAGCGAGAAGUAUGCGGAAUGCGUGGUGUAGCGGUGAAAUGCAGAGAUAUCACGCAGAACUCCGAUUGCGAAGGCAGCAUACCGGCGCUCAACUGACGCUCAUGCACGAAAGCGUGGGUAUCGAACAGGAUUAGAUGCCCGUGUAGUC